CACAGAUUUUUGCUUUUUAAGAAUUUUUUCUAGUAGCUUUUCUGACUUUUGUCAGAAAACUCAU